GACGGAGGGUGCUAGCGUUGUUCGGAAUGACUGGGCGUAAAGGGUGCGUAGGCGGGUCUUUAAGUCAGGGGUGAAAUCCUGGAGCUCAACUCCAGAACUGCCUUUGAUACUGAAGAUCUUGAGUUCGGGAGAGGUGAGUGGAACUGCGAGUGUAGAGGUGAAAUUCGUAGAUAUUCGCAAGAACACCAGUGGCGAAGGCGGCUCACUGGCCCGAUACUGACGCUGAGGCACGAAAGCGUGGGGAGCAAACAGG
rnacentral:rRNA from 1 species